rnacentral:rRNA from 1 species
UUGGACCUGAUAUCAGACAAGACUACCCGCUGAACUUA